UACAGAGGUCCCAAGCGUUGUUCGGAUUCAUUGGGCGUAAAGGGUGCGUAGGCGGCGCGGUAAGUCGGGUGUGAAAUCUCGGGGCUUAACUCUGAAACUGCAUUCGAUACUGCCGUGCUUGAGGACUGGAGAGGAGACUGGAAUUUACGGUGUAGCGGUGAAAUGCGUAGAUAUCGUAAGGAAGACCAGUGGCGAAGGCGGGUCUCUGGACAGUUCCUGACGCUGAGGCACGAAGGUCAGGGGGAGCAAAACGGG
rnacentral:rRNA from 1 species